AAACGUUGGGCGCUAGAUGUAGGGACCUUUCCACGGUUUCUGUGUCGUAGCUAACGCAUUAAGCGCCCCGCCUGGGGAGUACGGCCGCAAGGCUAAAACUCAAAGGAAUUGACGGGGGCCCGCACAAGCGGCGGAGCAUGCGGAUUAAUUCGAUGCAACGCGAAGAACCUUACCAAGGCUUGACAUACACCGGAAACGGCCAGAGAUGGUCGCCCCCUUGUGGUCGGUGUACAGGUGGUGCAUGGUUGUCGUCAGCUCGUGUCGUGAGAUGUUGGGUUAAGUCCCGCAACGAGCGCAACCCUCGUUCUAUGUUGCCAGCGCGUUAUGGCGGGGACUCAUAGGAGACUGCCGGGGUCAACUCGGAGGAAGGUGGGGAUGACGUCAAAUCAUCAUGCCCCUUAUGUCUUGGGCUUCACGCAUGCUACAAUGGCCGGUACAAAGGGCUGCGAUACCGUAAGGUGGAGCGAAUCCCAAAAAGCCGGUCUCAGUUCGGAUUGAGGUCUGCAACUCGACCUCAUGAAGUCGGAGUCGCUAGUAAUCGCAGAUCAGCAACGCUGCGGUGAAUACGUUCCCGGGCCUUGUACACACCGCCCGUCAAGU
rnacentral:rRNA from 1 species